rnacentral:lncRNA from 1 species
GCCCUCGGGAAUCCCCCACCUCCCUUCUAGGACCGCAAACCCGCCAGGGGCGGGGCAGUCAGUAGACGUAUUAUGGACACGCUCAGAACCUAUGAAGCCCGUUCCUCCAGCAGGCACGUGUAAAUUGUCAUCAUCCUUGGUUGGAUGGGGCAGGCUGAGUGAAUCUGUGGACUCUCUCUUGCUUCUGCUUCAGUAUCUUCAGGAUGAUGUUCUGUCCUGAGGAAGGUCAGAGAACCCAGCACAGCUGUGGUUCCAGAAAGUUCUUUGGGUGCUGGUCCAGUAUUCACAGAUGGUAUGCUGCAGACAGCCAGUGGCCAGCCACCAAGGAGUCAAGAAUGUCAAAGGGACAUCAUGCCAGCAGCUUGGUGUUUCUCAUCCCGCUGGCCCAGCUACCAGGAAAACCAGAAGAAUGACUCAAAAGCACCUGCCUAUCUUGAACAUGCCUGAACACAGAUACCAUGGUCACCUCAGACAGAUGGGGCUUGCCAAGCUGAGGUUCACAUAUGGGGAGGCCUACAGUUUGGGAAGGAUCUUUCAGCUCUUUCACUUGUGAACAUGGAGGACCAGGUGGUUGGAAGAUCAUUUGAGAUAGACCAAGGGCAAGCUUACAUGUGCAUAGAGCAGUCCCAAAGAGAUUGUUGUGACUAUCCACAUGUCAAUAGAUGAGAAUCUGACUGACAC